rnacentral:rRNA from 1 species
GUACUCCUUGCUCAAUUCCGGUUGAUCCUGCCGGAGGCCACUGCUAUGGGGGUCCGACUAAGCCAUGCGAGUCAUGGGGCGCCUUGCGCGCACCGGCGGACGGCUCAGUAACACGUCGGUAACCUACCCUCGGGAGGGGGAUAACCCCGGGAAACUGGGGCUAAUCCCCCAUAGGCCUGAGGUACUGGAAGGUCCUCAGGCCGAAAGGGGCUUUGCCCGCCCGAGGAUGGGCCGGCGGCCGAUUAGGUAGUUGGUGGGGUAACGGCCCACCAAGCCGAAGAUCGGUACGGGCCAUGAGAGUGGGAGCCCGGAGAUGGACACUGAGACACGGGUCCAGGCCCUACGGGGCGCAGCAGGCGCGAAACCUCCGCAAUGCGGGCAACCGCGACGGGGGGACCCCCAGUGCCGUGGCAUCGCCACGGCUUUUCCGGAGUGUAAAGAGCUCCGGGAAUAAGGGCUGGGCAAGGCCGGUGGCAGCCGCCGCGGUAAUACCGGCGGCCCGAGUGGUGGCCGCUAUUAUUGGGCCUAAAGCGUCCGUAGCCGGGCCCGUAAGUCCCUGGCGAAAUCCCACGGCUCAACCGUGGGGGCUUGCUGGGGAUACUGCGGGCCUUGGGACCGGGAGAGGCGGAGGGUACUCCUGGGGUAGGGGUGAAAUCCUAUAAUCCCAGGAGGACCGCCAGUGGCGAAGGCGCUCCGCUGGAACGGGUCCGACGGUGAGGGACGAAGGCCAGGGGAGCGAACCGGAUUAGAUACCCGGGUAGUCCUGGCUGUAAAGGAUGCGGGCUAGGUGUCGGGCGAGCUUCGUGCUCGCUCGGUGCCGAAGGGAAGCCGUUAAGCCCGCCGCCUGGGGAGUACGGCCGCAAGGCUGAAACUUAAAGGAAUUGGCGGGGGAGCACUACAAGGGGUGGAGCGUGCGGUUUAAUUGGAUUCAACGCCGGGAACCUCACCGGGGGCGACGGCAGGAUGAAGGCCAGGCUGAAGGUCUUGCCGGACACGCCGAGAGGAGGUGCAUGGCCGCCGUCAGCUCGUACCGUGAGGCGUCCACUUAAGUGUGGUAACGAGCGAGACCCGCGCCCCCAGUUGCCAGUCCUUCCCGCUGGGGAGGAGGCACUCUGGGGGGACCGCCGGCGAUAAGCCGGAGGAAGGAGCGGGCGACGGUAGGUCAGUAUGCCCCGAAACCCCCGGGCUACACGCGCGCUACAAUGAGCGGGACAAUGGGAUCCGACCCCGAAAGGGGAAGGUAAUCCCCUAAACCCGCUCCCAGUUCGGAUCGCGGGCU